rnacentral:rRNA from 1 species
UACAGAGGUCCCGAGCGUUGUUCGGAUUCAUUGGGCGUAAAGGGUGCGUAGGCGGCGGGGCAAGUCUGAUGUGAAAUCCCGGGGCUCAACCCCGGAACUGCAUUGGAUACUGCCUUGCUAGAGUACUGGAGAGGGAACUGGAAUUUACGGUGUAGCAGUGAAAUGCGUAGAGAUCGUAAGGAAGGCCAGUGGCGAAGGCGAGUUCCUGGACAGUUACUGACGCUGAGAGACGAAAGCUAGGGUAGCAAAUGGG